rnacentral:lncRNA from 1 species
UGCAGGAAACCAGUGUCUUGGGCUUCAGCAGGUGCUGGCAGUCUGUAGCUGGGAGAGCCUGCUCAUCAGAGCCCAUGGUCUGGAUGCACAGCACUGUUCUCUUUUUUUCUCCGUACGGCCCACAUGUCAUUGAACAUGCUUCCCACUCUCCGGCCCACCACCUGCAGGCAGACACAGAAGUGUGAAGACAUCAGCAGAAGUAUUCCCACAUUCAUUCUAUCACAGCUGGAGAAGUAGCACAUGAUGGGAAGCUUUCUGGUCUUGACCUGGAGACGGACACCCCC